GUGAAAUAAAGCCUAAACACUCCAAGACCGGGUGCCACUUGGUUUCUUUCUGUCAGUGAUCCAGUCCAGGCUUUUCUCAGUAUUUUCCAUAACAUUUGGUUCCCUGGCCCGGAAACCCAACUGCGGUGGCCCUUUGUUGCCACCGGUUUGGGGCAAUGGCACGGCUGUGAUGGAACAGAUCGCAGUGGAGAAGGCGCGCCCUGCCUGACCUUUUGGCAGUCUCCCACCCGGUUGCCCUGGGCCAGCCCUGCUCCGCUGUUCCUGCUGGACUCAAGGAGGCUUGGCAUGUGAGGACCUGGUUCUGACACUGAAUCCAACCAUGUAUCCUCAAUAGACUGAUGACUUUGUCAAAGGUAGAAUACAGUCCAGGUAAUGGUGCUAAGACAACAGUAUCAGCCUUUAUCUCCUGACAACUGUGAGAGGUCACGGGAUCCCAGAGAACCCCUGGACCCCCGACCCGGAGGGCCCUCUGCCGGCUGUUUGUCCUUCCAGAAUAGAAGCGCCAACCUCCUGAGGCCCUCUGAACUGAACAGUGAUGGAGACCUAACUGUACCCUGUACUGCACCCCCUCUCAGCAUGAAGCAGCCAGAGCGGUCAUCACCCUUUUCCCUAGCAGCAGCUUAGGUCUCUAUCUGUAGAGGGGAGAAUGA